GACGAGGUGGCCGGAGUGGUUAAGGCGAUGGACUGUUAAUCCAUUGGGUCGUACUUAAACCCAUCCUCUUCGUCG